GGUGUGUACACAAUCUACAUGCAACUAAAGAGCUUCACACGGAGAGCUUAAAUCGAGGGAAACGUGUUCUAUUCAUCGUUUAUGACAGUUCAAAUCAAAAGGUUAUGGCCACCCCUCGUCCAAGGAAGAUAUUUCUCUGGUUAUUUCCUUUGUUCUUAUUGGCUACAAUCCUGUCUGUGUACAUCUUCAGUGACCAAUUAACAGGAUUUAAACAUUCUGUUUCAUGCAAUGCUUACAACUUUGAGUUCCGGAGGGGCCUUGCAGAGGAUCUGAGAGAAAUCCAACAAAAAGUAAGGAAGUCAUUCCUGCAUAAAGAAGCACCCUCGCCAAAACUACUUUUACAGUUGGAAGAAAUUGUGAAACGGCUUGAUCCUGAAGUAGAUCUGGCAAGUGUGUUCACUCAGAAGGGUACUGAUACUGACAGCUUGGAUGUAUGUCCAGAGGUAUAUAAUGGGACAAAGUUUGGUUACCCCUUCUAUGAAAAGGGUUGGGAAUUAAUCAACUGUACCAAUGUAAAACCUCUUCGCUCUGUUGUUAGUGUCCUGGUCAACACUAUUGCAUAUCCCAAGCAAGAUGAGAACUAUGUUGAAACUGUUAUAAAAGGCAUAACAGAGACUUACCCAACAGUUCAGGUUUAUUUGGCAACAGGAAGUGUCAAUGUAAUGAAAGCUGCCCAAAAUUAUAAAAAUGUUGAUGUUGUUCUGGUUGAUAAAGCUCAAGUAGCUAAGGGAUGGAACAUUCUGGUAGGGAAAGCCUCUACUCCUUAUGUGCUGGUUGCACGUGAUGUGUUUCACUUCACAUGGCUAACACAACUUGAGAGGCAGAUUCGUGUUAUCAGUCAGAUACCAUAUGUUGAAGUUGCUGGUGGAUCAUACCGUAACUUCUCUGGUCACUGGAAAGCAGGAUGUGUCCAAACUACAAUGAAGAACUAUGUGUUAAAGUACCAAGAGGGAUACUUGCACUCAAAGAAUGGGUGCAUGUUAUGUGAUUAUCUUCAGGGACCUUUUGUAACCAAAACAAGUCUGUUCAAGCUUGAUGAGAAGCUUCCAAUUCAAGUUGUGUUUGAAGACUGGUUUUCAAGUAUUAUUAAAAAAGGCAGCUUAGUCAUGUCAUGCCCAGAUGCUAUGUAUUUUACAACAGACUACUGGUCAUAUUCUAAAAUAACUGAUAGAAAUGUGUGGACACCAUUGGCUAAAAAGUGGGAACUCAAUCAAGUUUUAUUGCCGGGAGGGGUAAAGCAUUCCUUCUCUUGUGAAGAUAUAGGUGUUACAUGCAAAGCCAAAAGUGAACUUCUCCCUUUGUGUUGCCUUCAAGAGUAUGCUUAUGCUUUAGCGUUUUUUCAGAAAUUUGCUGAAGCUCACAAUUUCACUUUUGAACUUGAUACUGGUUCUGCACUGGGUGGUGUUAAGUUUGAGGGUGUGCUUCCUUAUGACCUGGAUGGAGAUUUUAUUAUCUCGACUUCUGGUAUUGACAUCCUUGGAAAAACUGAAACAGUUGAUUAUUUCCAGAAAAAUGGAUACACUUUGGCAGAUUAUGAACCCAAAAAAGGGUACGCUAGACUUUUUUUCAAGAAGUUUUAUUUUGAGAUAUGGAGAAUGGGGGAUAUGUCAAAUAAAAGAUAUCUCCCACCAGAGCUACAGAAACAAGAAACUUACACAAAAGCCAACAUUGGUGGUUAUUGGAUAAAUACAGCAUUUAGUCCUGGUUUGUUCUCUAGGAAUCGAUAUGGAAGAGAAAUCCUCAAACACUCUCAAUCUUGGAUCAAGCUGGGCUUAUCACACAGCUUUAUUGAAUACAGUCCUGGAGGCUUUGAGCUUUGUAAAAAGCCAGAGCAUCAUGCAUGCAUACACAAUUUCCCUGCUGACGGCAACAUUCCAUUUAUGGUAAAUUAGACAUGUGUAAUGGUGCACAAAACUCAUGAACAGUAAGACUGUAAGAUGUGAUGUAUUAUUGCCAUUUUAAUGUAUCAAGAAAAAAUCUGAAUAGUGGACUGAGGAGUAGUGGUUGAGCUUAGUUGUGUUAAGUAUGUCACAACUUUCCCCUCUAAUAGGAUAAGACUUUAAUUAAAAACAAAUGCUAACAGAAAAAAACAACAACAACAACAGCGCAAAUCAGUAAGGUCACGAGGAAUGUCAGCGUAGAAUCUAUUGGAUCUAGCUAACUAACGACUGGGAACUUAUUCUCACGAAAGGGAGGAAAGUUAAAGAAUAAAAACGAAUGAAUAGGUGACAAGACACUCAUGAUUUUCUUCUUAACAAAUUAAUAAAUCAUUCAAACCGUGAA
rnacentral:misc_RNA from 1 species